CCAAGAACUUGCCCCUUACUCAAACACAACGCAAUGUACUUAAGCAAGUAUAUAUUUCUUUAUGUUCCUGUCAGUGAAACUGAUUUAACAUCUCCUUUCAAUUGAGCUAAAUGUACUAAUCUGGAAAAGAAUUAGAGACUACAGUAUGUAAUAAUGGUAUGCUUAUGAUACCUGGGUUUACAGCAGGCCAUUCUCAAUUCCCUUUCAGUGCCAAUUGUACAAGCUUCCAAGAGCAAGUUAACGUGGGGAGUUCUUCUGAAGAACAGUGCUUCACUUGAAAUACCAAAAAUUAGUCACUAGAAGGCAGACAUACCUUUCAUUAUUACCCAACAAUCUGACAGAUCUACUACCAAAUAAGUCCAACUGUUUUUAUUUCCAUUCAAUAUUAAAGUACGGGGAAACAGACAAGGUGUUUUCACGUGUUCCAGAAGGAGACUGAAGUUUUCAGGUAGGGCAGACGUCACAUAGGCUCCUCGUCUUGUCUCCUUUAUGUUGUUGGUCAGGUCACCCAUUCCGUCCAGUGCAUUUCUGCCAAUCGCUUAAAUCUUUCUGAAAUUUCUGCCCAGGCAACAGUAGCCUUUCCUGCAUUCUGUGCCAUAUCCACUUGGCUCAGUUCUUCUAAAUGAAUCAAGGAACUAUUAUUUAUGCAAUCUUAACUGAGAACUGUUGCAUGUGAACAGUAUUUCCUGAAGUAGUUUGUGUCAUCAUCUGUAUAUAAGAUAUCCGCUCACAGAACUUACUACUAUUUCUGCGCAGUUCCAGUAAAAAGGAAAGCAACACUGGAACUGCUUCCAAGCUCAUUGAAAAUGAGACAGACGAUUUUAAUCAUAUAUUUUAAAUAAUAUACUUUCCCCAAAUAUGUACGCUUUGAAGUCGUUCACGCUAUUGGAAGGUGUUCGAUGAAAGACUUAAAUCUGAAUCACAUUGCACUUAGACAAUAGGCUGGAAAGCGUUACACUUCUGACCUGCAGCACAACUGCUGGUAACAAUGAAUUUUUAUUUACUAUAUGUACUAGGUAGACAACCUAAGAGUCUGAGCUGUCAGGCAGCUGCUAAGAGUCUCCGUUUACUUUCUCCUUCCACUUCCACCACCAGCAAGCAUGGUGGCCACACGAAUGAAGAUGUUCAGCGUGUCUGUGUAGAUGCCCAUGCACGCAUUGAUGGGGUCGUAUUUCGUUACUCCGUAAUAUGGAAUAGUCUCUGCACGCUUGAUAACAUGCUGCGUAUCAUAGAGCAGAAACAUGCCAAAGAGAACCAAUCCUCCAUAAACAGCUACUGAAUACAAGCCAGCCCCAAAAGCAGAAGUAGGUGGCAAGAACAUGGAUCCAAUCGAAGAGACAAGAACGAAGCCAAAGCCUAUCCCAAGUGGUCCUCCCAUAUUCAGAAAUUUCUCACUUGGAGCACACAUGGCUACAGUUGAGAGCCCUCCGACGAUUCCAGCUGUAUACCAGGCAGCUCUGAUCAGCAAGGGACCACCCAAGAAAGCUAGAGGAGCCACCACUGCACCCAUGACACCGGAAUGCAUCAUCCAAGCAAGAUGUUUAGCUGCUGGACUGUUUUCAUAGGAUAUGGACCUGACCAACAUUCCAGCACCAAUCAUGGCGGCAAAAGUUGCGCCGAUUGCCAGCCAGGAGCCUUUUGUCAUAAGGCCCAUGAGUGCAGGAGAUCUGCUUACUGCUACAGCUGACAGUGCCGUCAAGCCAAUGCUUCCCGCAAAGUACAUGUAGGUAGAGCGAAUUCUGUCUUUCACAUACUGAGGCCAAAUAACUGCUCUUUCAAUAGCUCCAAUCUCACUGGACAUGCCCAUGCCAUAGUAACAGAGUGCCCCCAGGCCAACAGCAGCCCCUCCAGCAACAACAAGUUUUCCCAGGCGAUCAACUUUAAGAGCAGUUUCUGCAGAUGGCUCAAAUGCUGCUUCUUUAAUCUCCUGGCCAAUUUUCCCACGCCUUACGCCCGUUCUUACUCUGGUGGCAUAGCACUGGUUAGGCUGCCACAGACGGAAUGCUUUUAUACCAGAGUUCCUCAAAGCUGGGGACGCCUGAGCGAUGGUGGGGCGGAUAGCCUGGCAUGGCAGCGUCCUCAGGCACACGAGCCGUGCAGCCAGCAUGUUUGCUCUGCAAUAGUUUUAUAUACCGUGUUCCUGUAACUGCACAGCCCCAACCGCCGCUCGGCCCCACGAACGGCCUCCCUCAACACCCGCUCGGGAGUGGAAGUGACGCACCGCUGACCCGGGAGGCCACCGCGAUUGGCUCGCUCCUCUCACGUGGUUCCAGAGCACGCAAACGCCUCUGGCUAGCGGAGGCGGGGCGAAGCGACGUCCUGCAGCCACGCCGACGGGUGUCGCGCCAUCUUUAAUGAGGGCAGAGAAACUUCGGGAAGCCCCCUUAAG
rnacentral:lncRNA from 1 species